AGAGUUUGAUCCUGGCUCAGGAUGAACGCUAGCUACAGGCUUAACACAUGCAAGUCGAGGGGAAACGACAUCGAAAGCUUGCUUUUGAUGGGCGUCGACCGGCGCACGGGUGAGUAACGCGUAUCCAACCUGCCCACCACUUGGGGAUAACCUUGCGAAAGUAAGACUAAUACCCAAUGAUAUCUCUAGAAGACAUCUGAAAGAGAUUAAAGAUUUAUCGGUGAUGGAUGGGGAUGCGUCUGAUUAGCUUGUUGGCGGGGUAACGGCCCACCAAGGCAACGAUCAGUAGGGGUUCUGAGAGGAAGGUCCCCCACAUUGGAACUGAGACACGGUCCAAACUCCUACGGGAGGCAGCAGUGAGGAAUAUUGGUCAAUGGGCGAGAGCCUGAACCAGCCAAGUAGCGUGCAGGAUGACGGCCCUAUGGGUUGUAAACUGCUUUUAUAAGGGAAUAAAGUGAGUCUCGUGAGACUUUUUGCAUGUACCUUAUGAAUAAGGACCGGCUAAUUCCGUGCCAGCAGCCGCGGUAAUACGGAAGGUCCGGGCGUUAUCCGGAUUUAUUGGGUUUAAAGGGAGCGUAGGCCGGAGAUUAAGCGUGUUGUGAAAUGUAGACGCUCAACGUCUGCACUGCAGCGCGAACUGGUUUCCUUGAGUACGCACAAAGUGGGCGGAAUUCGUGGUGUAGCGGUGAAAUGCUUAGAUAUCACGAAGAACUCCGAUUGCGAAGGCAGCUCACUGGAGCGCAACUGACGCUGAAGCUCGAAAGUGCGGGUAUCGAACAGGAUUAGAUACCCUGGUAGUCCGCACGGUAAACGAUGGAUGCCCGCUGUUGGUCUGAAUAGGUCAGCGGCCAAGCGAAAGCAUUAAGCAUCCCACCUGGGGAGUACGCCGGCAACGGUGAAA
rnacentral:rRNA from 1 species